UAUAGAGUUUCUUUUUGUCCCUACUAUUUUCUGCUGGUAAACCAUGGUCUUGGGUCUCAGCUGCAGCUGGAUACAGUAUUUCUGAAGACAGACUUUUCCAGUUCUACUAGGAAGAAUGUAUAAAGUCACAUGGCCAUGUGUUCACUUCCAAACUGGAAAUUCAACUUUAGUUGGGAACUUGCCUAGCAGGAGAACAAAAGCUAUACAACAGUUUCAAGGAAGAGGAAGUGGUUCUCUUGCAUGACUGUGGACCCACUCAAUGAUGCAAGAUUGCAAGAUUCAGCAAGGAGGUGGAGUGAAAACAGAAGCCUUGGACUGCUCCGUGGUCACUUUCAACAGAGAGAUAUAAAGCCUGGCUAGGAGGAAGGAGUGCAGAUUGAAGUUUGAUCUACUGGACACUGUUCUACCCACACUUAUACCCUAACACAAAAAACGGUAAUUAUCUGUUACCUUUCUCUAGUUCCCUUCUUUGUGCCAUCUUCUCAAUGGAAAAAUGAGUGAGUUUAUCUCUCAACUCCCUUCCAGCCUCAUGACUUUACAAAUGAUUUCUUGGAUGCUUGUCCUUGUGCCCAGCUAUGCACCAGGAGUAAUGAAUGAUAUAAAGAACUACAGGACUCCUGCUUCUGAGGAACACUCAAACAAUGAAAUAUGCAUGCACUGCACAGCACCUGCAGGAAAGGAAUGGCUCCAUGUUCCAAGGAUGAGUCUUUGCAAAGAAGUCUUAAAUACUCACUUGUUCUGAGACAUGCUGGACUACUUACCCAGGGCCUCCAUGUGAUCUCAGAACCUUCCUGGAGAUUAAAAGCACAGAGAGACAUGACUACUCUAGAUUUGUGUAAAAUAAUUAAUUCAAUAAAUAUGUAUCGAAAG
rnacentral:lncRNA from 1 species